rnacentral:rRNA from 1 species
GACGAACGCUGGCGGCGUGCUUAACACAUGCAAGUCGAACGGAAAGGCCCUGCUUUUGUGGGGUGCUCGAGUGGCGAACGGGUGAGUAACACGUGAGUAACCUGCCCUUGACUUUGGGAUAACUUCAGGAAACUGGGGCUAAUACCGGAUAGGAGCUCCUGCUGCAUGGUGGGGGUUGGAAAGUUUCGGCGGUUGGGGAUGGACUCGCGGCUUAUCAGCUUGUUGGUGGGGUAGUGGCUUACCAAGGCUUUGACGGGUAGCCGGCCUGAGAGGGUGACCGGCCACAUUGGGACUGAGAUACGGCCCAGACUCCUACGGGAGGCAGCAGUGGGGAAUAUUGCACAAUGGGCGGAAGCCUGAUGCAGCAACGCCGCGUGCGGGAUGACGGCCUUCGGGUUGUAAACCGCUUUCGCCUGUGACGAAGCGUGAGUGACGGUAAUGGGUAAAGAAGCACCGGCUAACUACGUGCCAGCAGCCGCGGUGAUACGUAGGGUGCGAGCGUUGUCCGGAUUUAUUGGGCGUAAAGGGCUCGUAGGUGGUUGAUCGCGUCGGAAGUGUAAUCUUGGGGCUUAACCCUGAGCGUGCUUUCGAUACGGGUUGACUUGAGGAAGGUAGGGGAGAAUGGAAUUCCUGGUGGAGCGGUGGAAUGCGCAGAUAUCAGGAGGAACACCAGUGGCGAAGGCGGUUCUCUGGGCCUUUCCUGACGCUGAGGAGCGAAAGCGUGGGGAGCGAACAGGCUUAGAUACCCUGGUAGUCCACGCUGUAAACGGUGGGUACUAGGUGUGGGGUCCAUUCCACGGGUUCCGUGCCGUAGCUAACGCUUUAAGUACCCCGCCUGGGGAGUACGGCCGCAAGGCUAAAACUCAAAGGAAUUGACGGGGCCCCGCACAAGCGGCGGAGCAUGCGGAUUAAUUCGAUGCAACGCGUAGAACCUUACCUGGGUUUGACAUGGAUCGGGAGUGCUCAGAGAUGGGUGUGCCUCUUUUGGGGUCGGUUCACAGGUGGUGCAUGCCUGUCGUCAGCUCGUGUCGUGAGAUGUUGGGUUAAGUCCCGCAACGAGCGCAACCCUUGUUCACUGUUGCCAGCACGUUAUGGUGGGGACUCAGUGGAGACCGCCGGGGUCAACUCGGAGGAAGGUGGGGAUGGCGUCAAGUCCUCAUGCCCCUUAUGUCCAGGGCUUCACGCAUGCUACAAUGGCUGGUACAGAGAGUGGCGAGCCUGUGAGGGUGAGCGAAUCUCGGAAAGCCGGUCUCAGUUCGGAUUGGGGUCUGCAACUCGACCUCAUGAAGUCGGAGUCGCUAGUAAUCGCAGAUCAGCAACGCUGCGGUGAAUAAGUUCCCGGGGCU